rnacentral:rRNA from 1 species
AUUGAACGCUGGCGGCAGGCCUAACACAUGCAAGUCGAACGGUAGCACAGUGAGCUUGCUCUCGGGUGACGAGUGGCGGAUGGGUGAGUAAUGUCUGGGACACUGCCCGAUGGAGGGGGAUAAGUAGUGGAAAAGGUUGCUACUACCGCUUCAGAUCGCAAGACCAAAGCGGGGGACAUAAGGUCUUCACAACAUCUGAUGUGUCAGGAUGGGAUUAGCUAGUAGGUGGGGUAAUGGCUCACCUAGGCGCCGAUCCCUAGCUGUUCGGAGAGGAUGACCAGCAACACUGGAAAGGAGACACGGUCAAGCCUCCUACGGUAGGCAGCAGUGGGGAAUAUUGCACAAUGGGCGCAAGCCUGAUGCAGCCAUGCCGCGUGUAUGAAGAAGGCCUUCGGGUUGUAAAGUCCUUUCAGCGGGGAGGAAGGCGGUGAAGUUAAUAACUUCACCGAUUGACGUUACCCGCAGAAGAAGCACCGGCUAACUUCGUGCCAGCCGCCGCAGUAA